CCUACGGGAGGCAGCAGUGAGGAAUAUUGGUCAAUGGGCGGGAGCCUGAACCAGCCAAGCCGCGUGAGGGAAGAAGGUACAGCGUAUCGUAAACCUCUUUUGUCAGGGAACAAAGGCGGGGACUAGUCCCCGGAUGAGGGUACCUGAAGAAAAAGCAUCGGCUAACUCCGUGCCAGCAGCCGCGGUAAUACGGAGGCUGCGAGCGUUAUCCGGAUUUAUUGGGUUUAAAGGGUGCGCAGGCGGCCUGUUAAGUCAGCGGGAAAAGCCCGGGGCUCAACCCCGGCGAGCCGUUGAAACUGGCGGGCUGGAGUUGGAGAGAAGUACGCGGAAUGCGCGGUGUAGCGGUGAAAUGCUUAGAGAUCGCGCAGAACCCCGAUUGCGAAGGCAGCGUACCGGCUCCACACUGACGCUGAGGCACGAAAGCGUGGGUAUCGAACAGGAUUAGAUACCCCGGUAGUC
rnacentral:rRNA from 1 species